UACGUAGGGUGCAAGCGUUGUCCGGAAUUAUUGGGCGUAAAGAGCUCGUAGGCGGUUUGUCGCGUCUGCUGUGAAAACUCGGGGCUUAACCCCGGGCCUGGAGUGGGUACGGGCAGACUAGAGUGCGGUAGGGGAGACUGGAAUUCCUGGUGUAGCGGUGAAAUGCGCAGAUAUCAGGAGGAACACCGGUGGCGAAGGCGGGUCUCUGGGCCGUAACUGACGCUGAGGAGCGAAAGCGUGGGGAGCGAACAGG
rnacentral:rRNA from 1 species